UCCAAUGAUGGCAUGAAAUCUUUGAGACCUGAUUGUUUAAUUUGAUGACAACAUUACAAUCUGAGGAG